GUGUGGUGUGGAAGUGUUUGUUUUUUGCAAUAGAUUUUUGUUGCAGUUUAGGUUUGUAUUUUCUUUGUUUUGUAGUGCUUAUUAUGAAGGUUCGUAGGUUUAUGUCUGUAGGCCAGGCAGGUCAUUAAACUUAACAAAGAAUAAGUAAGUCGGGAGAGGGGAAUAGAAAUCUCCACAUACAUAUUCUUAAAAGCUGUAACACUCACCACAAAGAUCUGCUGAGUGAAGUCUGUGAGACGAACGCACCAAGUCUGGACGCUCUGUCAGGCUACAUUUUACGUUUUUGGGAGUGAGCAGGUGUUAUUCUGUUCCCCGGGUUGGUUUUGAAGUCAUGGCUCUCAAGUAAUUUUUGUGCUUCUCAAAAGUGCUGGAAUUGCAAAGAGUUCAAACAUUGAAUUAGUUGUGCAAUGGAAGGAGUAUUACCAGGACCCAGAUGCAGCCCAAGGAAAAAAGAAAACAAAAGGAGACACACACAGACACCAGAGCAUGAUGCAAGUGUGGCUUAAUCGGUGCUUGCACAUUGGGCUUGUUCUUUCCAAACCUGUUGCCCCGAUUCUGCAAGGCUAUCCUGCUGUAGAAGGAGGCCCUGGAGGACAAGACACCAUGUGGGGAAAACAGCCAUGGGGAGCAGAACCGAGGUAUCCCAGCUUAGCUCCCAACUGACAGCAGCCACAUGAGUGAGCAGAAAAACAACUUCCAAGGGUGAUUUAGCUACUGCUGCUGUGGAAUGUCAAAACUUUCAGCAAGGGAGCCCGAUGCAGAUCUGUUGAUAUGACACCAUUCCACAAGAAGACCAACUGAUGGCUUUGUGGCAAGUUGACUACACUGGGCUGUUUCUAUUCUGGGAAGACAGAGAUUUGUUCUAAGAGGAAUAGGCAUGUGUUGCAGGCAUAGGUUGACCUUUCCUGCCAUGGAGCCUCCUCUGGUACCACUAUUUGAAGGUUGAAGGAAUGUUGAUUCACCAGGAUUGAGUCAGACCAGCCAAGCCUAUGACCAUGAUGUCAACUGACUGUAUCACCUGUCACAUCAUCCAGAAGCUACAGACUUAUAAGGCAUUGGAAUAACUUGUAGAUGGCCCCGUUAAAGUACCAGCUUAGAGGCAACACUCCAUGAGAAUGAGACAUCAUCUCCAGGAUGGCACAUACACAUUGAAUCACACAGCAUUGAUAAGGAGAUGGCUCCCCAGUAGGAAGAAUAUAUUGGUCAUGAACCAAGGGAUGAAGCAGAAGUGUCUUGCUUCCUGUCCCUGCAGCCUCUCUUUCUGCAGUGCUAGAAAUCCUGGUCAAAAGGGGGCAUAAUUUUAUCAGGGGACACAGCAAAAGUCUCCACUACAUUGCAGCUAUGCCUGCUGCCUGGGGAUUUUGGGCUUCUUAUAAUUGGGACCAGCAAUAAAAGAGAAGAGUCACAGUCUUGGCAGGGCUAAUUGACCCUGAUCAGCAGGAGAAGAAAGGCUGUGGUUCCACUAUGAGGGUAGGGAAGACGUGUGGCACCACUGAUCCACUUUUGCAACCCAUGGUACUCCCGUGGCCAGUUGUGAUGACAGACAAGUGCAGGAACACUUUUGGGAAGGGCAUGGUGGCCAGAGUUCAGACCCCAUGGGAAUGAGGACCAGGGUCACACCACUGGAUAAGCCAGGAGGAAGAGAGGCCCACUGGAAGGCUGGAGGAGCUGCUCCCCAGAUGUAGAUGAAGUAGAUUUGAGCAGCACAGUGGUGGACCUAGUAGAGGCGGACAUCAAGAUCCUCUUCAAGGAAAGAUUAUCAAUAUAGUUUUCCCUGACCCAGGUGCCAUGUGUUUUCUGUCAUAUUCACGUAUGCUAAUACAUAAUUGUGCAAGUGGGGUAAUAUCUGGGACACUUCAUGGUUCAUAUCAAAACACAGAGUGAAGAGAACAUCCUCUGGGCCAUCUCAGAGUGUGAGUUUGGGGCGGGGGUGGCUCCUGGUUAACAUUUCUGUCCACUGCAGCAUUCCUUUUCCCUUUUGCUUUUAGAUUCUUCCCUUGACAUCACACCAGGAAAGUCUGACAACUUAACUUUAUUGGAUAUAGGCAACCGUUGAAUCCAAGUUUUGCCCACUGAAUCCAUCAAAUUGUUACAGCCAAUUCUAGAUGCCUGAGUGGACACAUGAAAUCCAGAUUCCCCAGUAAGCGCAUCCCCAUUAAUAAACUGACCAAAUGCAAUGUUAAUCUGUUCUAUAACCUUUAGAAUCCAUCCCAACAUAUAUUUUUUAGGUUCCUGCCAAGAUAUGUUAGCAAAAGCUUGCAAUUUUUUGAAAAAUGAAUUAUCUCUUCCUGGGACAUGUGUUGUACUUUUCUCUCUGAAAUAGGCUGAGCUCUGACUCCAUUAAAAGUCUGAAAGCAAUGAAGAGUGAAGGAGCGGAUAUUGGGGAGAAUAGGCAUCCUCUUGCAAGAUAACUGCCUCAAAGUCAUUAUAAGGUUUUCAAGCAAGAGAAAGCUAAUUUCCUUACACAUAUGAAGAAGCGUUG
rnacentral:lncRNA from 1 species